rnacentral:rRNA from 1 species
UACGAAGGUGGCAAGCGUUAUUCGGAUUUACUGGGCGUACAGGGAGCGUAGGCGGUUCGGUAAGCCCUUUGUGAAAUCUUCAGGCUUAACCUGGAAAAGUCGGAGGGACUGCCGGGCUAGAGGACGGGAGAGGAGCGCGGAAUUCCCGGUGUAGCGGUGAAAUGCGUAGAGAUCGGGAGGAAGGCCGGUGGCGAAGGCGGCGCUCUGGAACGUUUCUGACGCUGAGGCUCGAAAGCGUGGGGAGCAAACAGG